UACGGAGGGUGCGAGCGUUGUCCGGAAUCACUGGGCGUAAAGGGCGCGUAGGCGGCGCGAGCAGUCGGCGGUGAAGCCCGGAGCUCAACUCCGGGUCGGCCGUCGAUACUCUCGUGCUUGAGCACUGUAGAGGCAGGUGGAAUUCCGGGUGUAGCGGUGGAAUGCGUAGAGAUCCGGAAGAACACUGGUGGCGAAGGCGGCCUGGCUGGCAGUAGGCUGACGCUGAUGCGCGACAGCGUGGGAGCAACAGG
rnacentral:rRNA from 1 species